UACGGAGGGUGCGAGCGUUGUCCGGAUUUAUUGGGUUUAAAGGGCGCGUAGGCGGCGUGUUAAGUCAGCUGUGAAAUCUCCGAGCUUAACUCGGAACGGUCAGCUGAUACUGAUGUGCUAGAGUGCAGAAGGGGCAAUCGGAAUUCUUGGUGUGAGCGGUGGAAAUGACGUAGAUAUCAAGAGGAACACCUGAGGUGAAGACGGGUUGCUGGGCUGACACUGACGCUGAGGCGCGAAAGCUAGGGUAGCAAACGGG
rnacentral:rRNA from 1 species